UUUAUUUCAGCUUUUCGUGCUUUUAUUUCAUUUCACUUUUUCCAGCUUUUGUUACUUUUAAAUCAGUUGAAAUAGGAAGUCAGUUGCCUUCAGGAUAUCGUAGCCUUUAAUUGUACAAAAUUCGCUAGAGAUCUGAAAAACAUUUCCUUGCAGAGUGUGAAAGACGACUCAAUGAAGAAGGUAGCCCUAAAAGAGUCACUCAAAAUACAGUCGGAAGGACAUUCAGGAAGCAGGGACUACGCACGUCCCCUGUUUCAAUUUUCAGAACACCGUGAACUUUUGACUUUUGUCAAUUGCAACUCCACCUCCUCCUGGAACACUUCCUCCUACUGGGGACCGAAAUAGAGAUCCUGUAAUGCCUGUUAGCCAAGUAGCCAAUCGUGCAUUAGACAGUCAGUUUAAACUCUGCCAGCACCAAUCAUAAUUCUUUCAAAACAACUUAUGUAACCUUGUAUUUUUUUUGCCUUUAUAAGCCUGCUCUCCUUGUUAGCAUUUCGGAGCACACUUUGUAUUUUGACUCUGGCUCUCCGGAUUGCAAGCCCUAAGACCCCAAAUAAACGCUUUGGGUUGCUUUACAGUCUUGUGGGCUUUUUGGCUGAAAAGAGUAAAAUGCAGGUCUGAGAAUUCCAACAUCCCACCCCUGUGGCUGUGCUGAGGGGUGAGGUUGACUGACCUCAAGUCCCAGAGGUGGGGGACGGGAGAGGAGGCGGGGCCUCCUAGCGUGAAAGGUCACAGGUCAAAACCCACGGACCCUGGCUCUGCCCUUACUGUUGAGGAUCUUUGUUCUUUUUUAAUAUAUAUAUUUUAAGUGUUUGUUUAUUUUUGAGAGAGAGAGAGACAGAGCUUGAGCAGGGUAGGGAUAGAGAGUGGCAGACACAGAAUCUGAAGCAGGCUCCAGGCUCCGAGCUGUCAACACUGAGCCCGACAAGGUACUCGAACUCACGAACAGCCAGAUCAUGACCUGAGCCCAAGUCGGAGGUUGAAGCCACGGAGCCACCCAGGCGCCAGGAGGAUCUUUGUUCUUAAACAAAAGUCACAGAUCCGCUCUUGACCUCGCCCCCGCGCCAACCCUUGACCCUAGGGCUCACCGGCCCCUCCCGUCCGUCCCCUCCUGUCCAAGCUCCUGACAAGGGGCGCUCCGCAGGGAAACUGAGUCAGGAUCUCACGGUCCAGGAGGAAGACGUAGGCAGGAUGGGUGGCCGAGCUGCAGGCGCCGGAGGUCCAACCGCAGGGAGCGGUCUCAGCUCUAAGCCCACGCUGGCCAGACACGUGUGUCCGAACGACCUGUCACUCAGGACGCAAGGGGCAGGGUCUGGGAGGAUUGUCCAAUCAGGGGGGGCAGGGGCGGUGCGGAGGCGCGGAGGCACUGUGGGUGGGCAACCGCAGGCCCGGUCUCUGAGGGGGCGGGGUCCGGAAGACGAACCAAUCAGGACGCAUGGUCCCGUAGCGCCGUCCAAUCAGGACGGGGGGCGGGCGCGCUCCAGAGGCGAGUCCCUCGCUGCCCUGCUGCCCUGCGUCUGAGCGCACCUGCCUCGCGCGGCGUCUAGCUCGGUCUCGCGGUCGGUGUCGUACAGCCGCUUGCCUGGACGCCGGGACAGUCCGGAGCGGGCUGCGAGAUGGCCUCUGUGGUCUUUGAGGAUGUGGCUGUGUACUUCACCCCGGAAGAGUGGGCUUUGUUGGAUCGAGGUCAGAGGAAGCUCUACAGAGAUGUGAUGCUGGAGACCUGCAGGAACCUGGCCGCAGUGGAUUGUUGCACUCAAGUUAAAACUUGUGGAUCAAGGACUCAGCUGAAUAUUUUGGAGAAUGAACUAUCCAGUGAAGAGAAAAUAGUAAGAUUUACAAGAAAUGAUCCCUGGGCUCUUUUUCGAGAAAACCCGGUGUUUCAUAACAUUGGUGAUCAGUCCCAAUCCCAGGAGAGGCGUUUGAGAAGUCCUUUGGUGGAGAGUGUCUGUGAACGUAUUGAAGGAGAUCCAUGUGGAGAAACCCUGAACCCGAUCACAAGUCUUACUGUGCAUGAGGGGUAUCCCACUGGAGGCAAAUCCUGUGAAUGUGCUAAGUGUAGAGAAGCCUUCGCAGAUGGUUCCUUCCUUGAGAAACUGCGAAGAUCUCACCCAGGACUCAAACCUAGUCCUGGUGAGGAGUGUGGCCCAGCCUGCAGCUCUGUCUCGAGCCUCAGCACUCACGUGGAUGCAGACCUUGUAGAGAAACCCUAUGAAGGUCAGGACGCUGGGAGAGCAUCGGACGCAUACGCGAAGAGUCUCAGUAGUAAAGUAUCUCUAGAGUGCAAGAAAUGUGGAAAAGCUUUCACUUGCACGUCUUCCUUUCAGGGGCAUGUGCGAGGUCCCUGUGGACAGAGUGUCCACGCGUGUGACGUGUGUGGGAAAACCUUCUUGUAUCACUCCUACCUUACACGUCAUGUGAGAACUCACACGGGGGAGAGACCCUAUGAAUGUAUGGAGUGUGGGAAAACCUACAGUUGCCUCUCAUAUUUUCGAGAACACAUGAGGUCACACACUGGAGAGAAACGCUAUGAAUGUAAGGAGUGUGGCAAGACAUUCAAGUACCCUGCAUCCCUGCAGGGACACCUGAUGACGCACACUGGAGAGAGACCUUAUCUGUGUCAGCAGUGUGGGAAAGCCUUCAGUUGUCCCAAAUACUUUCGAAGACACGUGAGAACGCACAGUGGGGUGAAGCCCUAUGAGUGUACGUUAUGUGAGAAAGCCUAUAGUUGUUCCUUAUCCCUCCGGGAGCAUGUGAGGACGCACAGCGAAGAGAGGCCGUAUGAGUGUAAGGAGUGUGGGAAGGCUUUCAGACACCCCCGAUACUUCCAGAGGCACGUGAGGAUGCACAGUGGGGUGAAACCCUAUGUGUGUAAGGAGUGUGGGAAAGCGUACAGUAGUUCCACGUCGCUUCAGGAACACGUGAGGUCGCACACGGGGGAGAGACCCUUUGAAUGCCAGCAGUGUGGGAAAGCCUUCACGCGUCACUCCUCCCUCCAAGGUCACGUGAGAGCACACAGUUUGGAGAAACGUUACGAGUGUACGCAGUGCGGGAAGGCCUUCCGUUGGUCCUCGUCCUUGCAGAAGCACGUGAGAACGCACCGUGAAGAGAAGCCCUACGAGUGCCAGCAGUGUGGCAAAGCCUUCUGGUAUCCCGCGAACCUGCGGGCGCACGUCAAGACCCACACGGAGGAGAGACCUUACGAAUGUCCGCACUGUGGGAAAGCCUUCAGUUGUCACUCCUCCCUGCAAGUACAUGCGAGAAAGCACAACGGAGUGAAACCCUACGAGUGUAAGGAGUGUGGGAAGGCCUUCUGGUAUCCCGUGAACCUGCGCGCUCAUGUGAGGACGCACACGGGAGAGAGACCUUACGAGUGCCAGCAGUGUGGGAAGGCCUACAGGUGUCCCGCAAACCUGCGGGUCCACGUGAGGACGCACACGGGGGAGAGACCCUACGAAUGCCAGCAGUGCGGGAAGGCCUUCAGGUAUCCCGCAAACCUGCGGGCGCACGUGAGGACACACACGGGGGAGAGACCCUACGAAUGUCCGCACUGUGGGAAGGCCUUCAGGUACCCCACAAACCUGCGGGCGCACGUGAAGAUGCACACUGGGGAGAAACCCUGAAUACACAAUGACGCUGUUUUCCCUCAUGUCUUAUUGCCUCUGUGGUCUUUGAGGAUGUGGCUGUGAACUUCACCCCAGAAGAGUGGGCUUUGCUGGAUCAUGGUCAGAGGAACCUCUUUAAAGAUGUGAUUCUGGAGACCUGCAGGAACCUGUCCUCCGUGGAGACAGAGCAUGAACGGGGGAGGGCCAGAGAGAGGGAGACACAGAGUCCGAAACAGGCUCCAGGCUCCGAGCUGUCAGCACAGACCCCUACGCGGGGCUCGAACUCACAGACUGUGAGAUCAUGACCUGAGCCGAAGCCGGCCGCUCAACCGACUGAGCCACCCAGGUGCCCCAAGAAACCCAAGUUUAUAUGGUAAAAUAAUCUACAAGGAAGGAUCUGAGACUGUACAAUGGGGAAAAGACUGUCUCUUCAAUAAGUGGUGCUGGGAAAAUGAGACAGCUACCUGCAAGGAGGUGAAACUGGGCAGCUUUGUACCCCUUACCUGAAAGGAAACUCAGUAUGGAUUAAACACCUCGGUGUAGGACUUGAACCCAUACAUGUCUUAAGACAAGAUGGAGACACUAAAUUCAUGGAUAUCUGCCAUAGCAUUAUUUUUGUGGAAUCAUCCCUUCAGGUAAGGGAAACAAAAGGAAAAAUAAAAAAUUGAAAGAGGAACAUAAUACACAUUUUCUCACAGAAAAUAUACAGAUGGCCUCUUGGCACAUGAAAAGCUGCUCAGUAUCACUAAUCCUCAAGGAAAUGCAAAUUAAAACCAGGUGAGCUAAUGGCUAGUAUGAAAGAAACAGGAAGUACAAGUGUUGGUAAGGAUGUGGAGAAGGGGAAACGCCUCAUUGGUGGGAUUUCAAUGGGUGCAGCCAGCUUGUCAAACAGUAUGGAGUUUCCACAACAAAAGGAAACACAACAAUACCAUAUGGUCCGUAAUUUCACUUGUGGGUAGUUCACCAAAGGUAAAAACCAGGACAGUAAGAUACGUGCACCCCGACGUUCACUGUGCUCAAGAUACCUUAGCAACACAGGAGUCCUUCAACAGAUGAAUGGAUAAUGAAGAUGUGGUAUGUACAUACAAGGGACUGUCCCUCAGUAAUAUAAAAGGGACAAAUUCUUGAUGUUUGUGACACCAUGGAUGGAGCUAGAGAGUAUUAUACCAAGUAAAUAAGUCAGACAGAGAGACAAACAAAACAGGUUACUUAUAUGUGGAAUCUAAAUGACAAAAUGAACAAACAGCAGAAAAUAGGAAGACUUAAAACUGUAGGGAACAAAUUGGUGUUUGUGAGAUUGGAAGGGCAUUGAGAGGUGAAAUCAUGGAGUGGAUUGAGAAGAACAGAUUUGCACUUAUUGAAUAAAUAAGUCAUGGGAAGGAAAAGUAGAGGACAGGGAAUAUGGUCAAUAAUUUUGUAGUUUUGUAUAGUGACAGCAAUUACACUUUUUAUGGUGAGCAUUUUGUAAUGUAUGCAAUUGUUGAAUCCCCAUGUUGCACACCUGACACGAAUAUAUAGGUCAGUAUGCUUCUACCAAAAAAUGAGUGAAUGAAUGAAUGAAUGAAUGAAU